rnacentral:rRNA from 1 species
GACGAACGCUGGCGGCGCGCUUAACACAUGCAAGUCGAACGGAAAGGCCUGCUUUCCCUUGUGGAUUGCGGGUACUCGAGUGGCGAACGGGUGAGUAACACGUGAGUGAUCUGCCCCCAACUUGGGUAUAAGCCUGGGAAACUGGGUCUAAUUCCCGAUAGGACUGCAGGGUGGUGCCUGUGGUGGAAAACGAUUUUCUAGUGGUUGGGGAUGAGCUCGCGGCCUAUCAGCUUGUUGGUGGGGUAAUGGCCUACCAAGGCGGCGACGGGUAGCCGGCCUGGGAGGGUGGACGGCCACAGUGGGACUGAGAUACGGCCCAGACUCCUACGGGAGGCAGCAGUGGGGAAUAUUGCACAAUGGGCGGAAGCCUGAUGCAGCGACGCCGCGUGGGGGAUGACGGCCUUCGGGUUGUAAACUCCUUUCGACCGCGAGGAAGCCACCUGGUUGGAAGGGUGGUGACGGUAGUGGUAGAAGAAGCACCGGCUAACUACGUG